UGCAGAAUCCCGUGAACCAUCGAGUCUUUGAACGCAAGUUGCGCCCAAGGCCAUUAGGUCGAGGGCACGUCUGCCUGGGCGUC
rnacentral:rRNA from 1 species